rnacentral:rRNA from 1 species
GUCCACGCCCUAAACGAUGUCAACUGGGUGUUCGGGAAGCGAUUCCUGGGUACCGUAGCUAACGCGUGAAGUUGACCGCCUGGGGAGUACGGCCGCAAGGUUAAAACUCAAAUGAAUUGACGGGGACCCGCACAAGCGGUGGAUGAUGUGGAUUAAUUCGAUGCAACGCGAACAACCUUACCUACCCUUGACAUGUCCGAGAGCCCGCUGAGAGGUGGGUGUGCCUGAAAGGGAAUCGGAACACAGGUGCUGCAUGGCUGUCGU